ACAGAGCCUGGUGUGGGGUGUGCAGAACCUGCAGGCAUGCUGGGGCCCACGCGGACGGCCUGGGCUGUGGCUGGAGCUGCAGAGAGGGCCGAGGCUGGUGCAGCCUGCACUGGCGAAGCCCAGCCUGGCCCGAAGAGCUGCCAGGACCUGAGUCCUCUGGAGCUGAGCAGAGCCGGUGCGGCCCGGCUGAUACACUGCCUGUCUGCACAGCCCUGCGAAGAGGCACUGAUGCCCCUCUUCCUGCUGCUGUGCUGGCCUGCGCCUGGCUGGCUGAGGCAGCUCCAGAAUGUCCACACGGGCCUCGACCUGUCCGUGCCCCAGCACCAGGAAGUGCGGGGCAAGAUGCUGUCCGGCCACGUAGAGUACCAGAUCCUGGUGGUGACCCGGCUCGCUGCGUUCAAGUCCGCCAAGCACAAGCCCGAGGAUGCUGUGCAGUUCUUGGUCUCCAAAAAGUACAGCGAGAUAGAGGAGUUGUACCAGAAACUGAGCAGUCGCUACGCAGCAGCCAGCCUGCCCCCGCUGCCCAGGAAGGUCCUAUUUGUCGGCGAGUCUGACAUCCGGGAAAGGAGAGCCAUGUUCAGUGAGAUUCUGCGCUGUGUUGCCAAGGACGUCCAGCUGGCGGGCAGCCCAGAGCUGCUAGAGUUCCUAGGCACCAGAUCCCCAGGGGCUACAGGUCUCCCCAGCAGGGACUCCUCUGCCUCAGAUGACACAGGAGGCCAGGCAGGGGACAGUGAGGAGGCUUUCAACUUCUUCGAGCAGCAGGACCAUGUGGCCAGUGUGGGUCUGCCUGUCCUGGGCCAGAAAAGUGAGUCUGGAGAGAAGUCCUUGGAGGAAGAAGAGGAGGAGGAGGAGGAGGAGGCUCUGGAUCCCCUGGGCAUUCUUCGCUCCAAGAAGCCCAAGCAAUGCCCUAAGGUGGCUGUGAAGGCCAAGCCCGCACCCCAGCUCACCAUCUUUGAUGAGGAGGAGGACCCUGACGGAGAGCUCUUUGGCCCAGGCAGGAAGCUGUCCCCAAUGAGUCCCUCCAAGGGUGCGCCCCCCGUUGGCACCCUGAAGCUGUUUGAUGACCCUGACCUCGGUGGGGCCGUCCCGCUGGGCGACCCCUUGCUGCUGCCAGCCGCCUGUGGACAUGGAGGGCUCACGUCCAGCCUGGAUCACAGAGGGGCCUCCCACGAGCUGUUCAGGGUUGGAACAGAAGCCCCAGCCUGGAGUUUCAAAGAGGGUCCCACGCAGGAAGGCAGAGUUCACACCCAGGAGGCCUGAGAACACCUGAACACCUGAGCCGGAGCAGAGGCCCUUCAUGGGGGUGGGGCUCCUUGGGGCCUGACUUGCUUCUGACCCCAGGGGGCCAGUGCAGGAGAAAGACUUUGACUUGGACAGGUGCGCGUUCCAGGUGGGAGCGGAUUAGAAGCACCGUGUUACACGAGUGGAGAGCUGCUGCAGGUGGAACACGGGGACUGAAACACCAUUCAGGAUACCCACAGACCAUGGCUGUCCAGUUCUGAGUGAGCAGAGUGAAGGGACUGGCCUGGCAGCAAAGCCAGACUUCGGUCUGACCGCACUGAGAGUUCUAGGGUCUACCUGGCCUGCUCAGAAAGCCCCUGCGGGUAAGAUGGCUAUUGCCCCGUUUGGUCACUCCCAAACCCAGGCUUCAGCCCCUGCAGGCAUCUCUGGUCAUCUGAGGCCAGGUCUGGAAGGGCCGGGGUGGCUCUCAGGCCCAGCUCCAUGCUUCAGAUGGCAAAUGAGCCCACGGAGCUGCAUCUGAUUGGAAUCCAUUUAGCAAUUCAGGAACCGCACAGUCCUUCCCCACCUCCCACUUCUGAAAGGGAACUUGUUUGGAGUCUUUUUAAAGCAGCUGGUAUUUUUACAGUAAGUUCUUUAAGUCUGAUCUCUUUUUUUUUAAUGCUUUUUUAAAAAAACUUUUUAAUUACACAAAUAGUCCAUGAGUACAUUUUCCUCAGGAAAAAACUAGAACAUUGCAGAUAAGACUCCAACUCCUCUGGCCUCUGUGCACAAUUCCACAGCCCUCCCCACACAGAAUCCGGCUUCGGUGUGUGUCCAACUGUGAUUUCAAGUCAUCUGAGCCUCACUUGCUAGAGUCAAGUGGCCUGGACAGGUGGGGACAUAGUUCCAUGUCCCCAGAUGAACAUGAGCCCAGGCAUGGGGACUGUGGGCACCCCUUCGGCUUUUUGGCAGGAUUUCCACAGGGAUGUAUGUGUUCCCUGGCUCUGGGAGCCUGCAAGACGGGACACAUAGGGCUCCUGUGCUGUGUCCCUACUGAGCCUGGGUGUGAUAGCUCCUCCAUCUUCUUGCCCCAUUUCCUGGUCUCGAGUCCCAGCAGCCCCUGCUGCAGGCCUGGUUUGAAUGCCGGAAGUCUGGACAGAGACACUUCAGCUAGGCCUGGCAGUCUCUGCAGCCAGCCGCUGGACCCCAGGGACAGUGCUGAGGCUGUGGGCUCCCGCUCCCUCACCCCAUUCCUCCAUUCUCCCUCACUUUCCUCUCCUAGUGUCUGCCCCUUCUCCUCCAGCUCCUAGGAUCCUUUCCAGAGAGAAACUCAGCUGGCCUUCUAUCCCUAGAGAAGCAAAAAGGGAAGUUGAAAAGAGGAGCUGAAAGAGCAGCGUGAUGGAGCCAAAGAAAUAAAACUCAAAUGAUAGAGAUUCAGACCUUGAAGACCAGUCACAGGAGGAAGGAGGCCUUCCGGCAUGGGAGGUGGGUGCCAUGCUCCUGACUUCCUGUUGUCUGACCUCCCUGCUGGGGCCAUCUCUCCUGAUAGAGGCUGGGCAUGGCUCCAAGCACUGAGCUGAAGGGCCAGCCUGCUCCCCUGCCAGGCCCUCUGACCACAGAAGGACAACGAGAGUCCUGAAAAGAACAGCUUCGGCUUACGGGCUGGGAGACAGGAAGUGGAUCUGCGGCUCUUGCAGUCUCCCAGUCCCCAGACGGAGAACCCGCCCCGCAAUGUCAGCCCCCACUCUCCACUGCUAAGUGCAGAGAAAUCACAGCCAGCAGGUUUCUGGUCUGCUUCCUUUGUUUAAAAUCAGUGAAAUUUCUUUUCCUCAAGCAAAACAUCUUACCCAGAGCUCUAACGUACGUGACAUAAAAUCAUUAAGACGGUUUCCCAGUGAAGUAUUUUCUUGGCAGAAGUGACCGGAGACCACUCCUCCAUGUGGAAUCGGGCAACUGUGGGUUAACUGUGUUAAUGGCAGCUAGGGGUUAACUGGGUGACUGUGCUCUUCGUGGGAGGCACCUGAGUGACCUGGACAGCUUCUGUCAUCUGUCACCCAAGGAGCGAAAUGGACUCAGAAAGCCCUGCCGGAACUCUUUGCUCCCCUCCCACCCUGCUUUGUGUGAAUCCUGCUUGCUCUUUUCCUAGGGAAACUCCAAUGAAGAUCAGCCAUGUAGAUGUAAAAAGAGGCCCCCCCAAACCCUCACAGCCUUCAGAAAGCAAAAGAGAAGCCUAAGCCAGGUAGGGAGGGACCAUCACAGAGGCACACGGAGGCAAGCGAAGCACCUAGCCCUCUUCGGCUGGGCUCACUGCCUCUGGAAACUGGUGUGGGUUCCCUGCUUUUUCUCAUCCCUCUUCUCCGCCCCACCCUGGGGCUUUGUCAGCAGCAGCUCAGCACCUGAAGUCCCUCGGCCCCUCUGAUCAUCUUCAGUGAGAGUGACUCCCUCCACGGCCGCCUUCCCUGCCUCCAUGCUGGGCUGGGCUGUCUUUGACCAUCUGAGGAACACGACUGAAGACAGACCGCUCUGACCACUUAGAAAUUCCCAGAGAGGACACACAGGGGCCCCAAAGGGACAGAGGGCAGCAGGCAGAACAUACAGGAUGUGAUGGGAAAAUGCAAUAGAUGUUUAAAUUUUUUAAAUACAGUACAAGACACAUUGCCGUUAACCUCCUCAGAAUCUUCCCACUUGCUCUAAACACACACGCCACGUCACUCUUGCCACUUUCUGAAGCGGACCUGGAGUCUCUCGGUUGAGUGUGUCCACAGGGUGUGACAGAAAGUACACUGCUGCUGCUGAGUGCCACACAGGGGGCAGGCUUGUGUGUCCUCAUCUUCCUGCUCACUGGACCUGGCACUGUGCAGUUCUGGCUCUUCCCCGAAGUCAAAAUGACCAGGAAAGGUGGACAUUCCAAGUCAACUCAGGACAUCAAGGCAGGGACAGUUAUGUUCCUAAUGACACGCAGGAAAGAGGACUCAGCACUGCCUCCGAAGAUGGCAAGAACACCGGGAUAAGUUUCGGGGGCUCUGGGGAAGUGUGAGAGCAGCACUUCAGGAGGGCCUGCUGCGGACCAAGCCCACUGAGGUUACUCGGCCCCACUUGAUUGUUGGCCCCAGCUUGGAACAACUAAGCAGCUCGAGGGCCGGGGUUUAGCUCAGUGGUUCUGGCGCCUGCCUCAAGAGCUCAAGGACUGGAGUUCAAUCCCUGGUACUGGGGGGAAAAAAAAAACUAAGCAGCUCUGCCCUGUGGUGAACCCAAGCCUGGAUCCCUGGUGAUGGGCACUGGCACACGGCUCUGGCCUCCUGUCGAGGGUCAGCAGGGCUAUGUGUGUCCCGGGGAAGAGCAGCCAGGAGCCACUAAGAGUCUGAGUGGCCUAGACUUCUCGAGCCCGGGAGUCCUCGGUCUUGGAACUUGAUGUUUUUAGAUCCUGGAGUUAACUCUGCCCACCCUGGCUCUGGGGAUUUGUCCAGCCUCAGCUGCUAGCUGCUCCCUUCCCCUCUGAGCGGCCCAUCCUGCAGUGGACUUCCAGGGCCAGGCCCGCUCAGCUCCAUCAGCAGCCCUCCGCAGUGCCCUCCGCACCUGCAGGGAGAGCCAGAGCAGAGCGACCACAUGACUGGAUGGAACCCAGCCCAGCCUGGCACCUUGGAGGGCAGAACGCAGACCCUCUACAAGCAUUACUUCUCAAGUACUGCCUGACUUCCGCUGAGGGACUCUGUCCCCAAGCAGAGUUGUAGCCAGCUCCGAUGGGUGCACCAUGGGAAAGAUAACCCCUUCGCACACUGAACCCUGCGGAUCCAGCUGAAGACUGUGGGGUUGUGUGGUGGGGAGCUGGCGAGCUGGGCCUGGGGUUGGAGCUAGGGAAGCUUCUGAGAAGAACCUGGCCUGGGUAUGCAGGGUCCCAUGGCUAUAAAGUACGGAACCAGUUUUCAGCCUCGGAAAACCCCUGGGAGUGUACAGGUCCCGGAACAUGUAUGCACACCACCUUUGUGAGAUUCUCCCCACAGACGGUCCCCAUGCCAGAGAGAGAAACUGAGUCACAGCCAGCCCACGUGGGAACACAGAGCUGAGCUCGGUUCUCCUGACCCCUGUGAUUUUCCACACUGUGUGUCCCUCCCAGAGAACUGGUGCCUGGUGCCCGCCGGGAACACGUCUGAGGCCUUAAUUUAGGGACAGUGCUUGGUGCUGCUGUCAGACCUGGGUGUUCGAGGGGUGGCAUGCUCCAUGGGAUGGAAGGUGUGACACAGUCCAGAGGGGCUCAGCCAAUGCGGCACCUUCAGCAGGGGCUUAGCACCUGGGGGAGGGCGGCUGGAGUUCCACAGUGGCCCACAGCAGGGCCCAGAAGGUGAAGCUUCAGAGGCAUCGCACACCAUGGUGCGCUCGGCUGAGGGUACCAGGCAGGAUGUUGACGGUUCACAGGGACCGCGAGGAAUAGCUGAAGAAACGGGGGACGGGCCACCAAGCACAAAUGUAACCGUGACAGGCAGGAAGAAACAGGACAGAGGGUCAGGAGGGAGAGAGUGUGGAGCCCAAUGGAGAGACCAGCGCUCGUCAGUGGCUCUGGCCCCAGCCUCCGCCUCCACUCUCUUUGGUGGAUUUAUGGAAAAAUCACUCCAUGUGCUUUCUGUAUGCCAUCAUCUGAUAUGUGUAGCAUGUGUGUUACUAGCGUGCUGUUUGCUUUUGCCAAAGCUGUUUCACUGUUGAAGCGACUGGCCUUUCCGCUGGGACAUAUCUGACACGGGAAGUGCUUCUUAGGGAAUAGCUGCGUAAGUGGGUCCAGAGGUCGCCUCCUCCCCUUUUGGGGUCUCUUGUUUGGUGAAUUGUAAACAAGCUUGCUUCCCUCCGAAGGGCAUUUUCCUGAACCUCUGGGAUGUGCUUGCUUUGUUUCGCUUCCCAGGAGGCGCGCCCUGGUGGAAAGGGGUGCGCUGUGUGGAGGGGCCGCUGGAGCUCUGGAAAGGGCCCUUUCUGCAGCUCCCCAGACCCAUGCUCUGUUCCAAGGCCUGCCUGAGGCCUGGCUUUGCCAUGGCAGAAAUGAAGACACCAGCCAAAGCCUCUUCCCUGCGAAGCAUCUGUGUCUCGAGGUCACUAGUGCGAGCCCAGCCCAGCUGGGAGAGCAGGACGAGCUGCCCCUGGAAGAUUCCACCACUGGUGUCUGCCACAGCCACCGCCAAGGGGCCACGGGGUCCCCAAAGAGCCAGAGUCUGCUCACCCCACGCCGGGCCCCCAGGUGCUGGUCCCCACCUGGCCUCCCCAGCUGUCUGACGUUGAAGGGUUUCCUUCCUGUGGAUGGGGUCCCAACACAGACCUGUGGGGCUCAUGUAGGGAUCAGACAGACCCCUGCCAUGCCUGGCACAGGGUGGGAUUGAGGGUGCUCUCGUUCAUUGCUGCCGCUACUGCUGCUACUGCUGCUACUGAGUGGACUGUGGACACACUGUCCCUGGAGAGAGGAAACAGGCAAAGAUGGCCAAAGAGCGGGGCCGGAGAGAGCUGACCUUGGGACUUCGGUAUUUUUCUAGUACAGUGGACCCUCGAGUUACGACCCGCCUGACAUAGAAACAACCUGGGUUACCACCCAAAUUUUUGUUUUAACUUACAAAUAAAAGUCUUCAGUUA